rnacentral:rRNA from 1 species
AUUGAACGCUGGCGGCAUGCCUUACACAUGCAAGUCGAACGGCAGCACGGGAGCAAUCCUGGUGGCGAGUGGCGAACGGGUGAGUAAUAUAUCGGAACGUGCCCAGUCGUGGGGGAUAACGCAGCGAAAGCUGUGCUAAUACCGCAUACGAUCUAUGGAUGAAAGCGGGGGAUCGCAAGACCUCGCGCGAUUGGAGCGGCCGAUAUCAGAUUAGGUAGUUGGUGGGGUAAAGGCUCACCAAGCCGACGAUCUGUAGCUGGUCUGAGAGGACGACCAGCCACACUGGAGCUGAGACACGGUCCAGACUCCUACGGGAGGCAGCAGUGGGGAAUUUUGGACAAUGGGCGCAAGCCUGAUCCAGCAAUGCCGCGUGCAGGAUGAAGGCCUUCGGGUUGUAAACUGCUUUUGUACGGAGCGAAAAGGCUCUCUCUAAUACAGGGGGCUCAUGACGGUACCGUAAGAAUAAGCACCGGCUAACUACGUGCCAGCCGCCGCAGUAAUAC